rnacentral:rRNA from 2 species
GGGGAGCGUUCUGUAAGCCGUUGAAGGUGGCCUGUGAGGGUUGCUGGAGGUAUCAGAAGUGCGAAUGCUGACAUAAGUAACGAUAAUGCGGGUGAAAAACCCGCACGCCGGAAGACCAAGGGUUCCUGUCCAACGUUAAUCGGGGCAGGGUGAGUCGACCCCUAAGGCGAGGCCGAAAGGCGUAGUCGAUGGGAAACAGGUUAAUAUUCCUGUACUUGGUGUUACUGCGAAGGGGGGACGGAGAAGGCUAUGUUGGCCGGGCGACGGUUGUCCCGGUUUAAGCAUGUAGGCGGAUGUUCCAGGUAAAUCCGGAACGUUACUAACGCUGAGGUGUGAUGACGAGGCACUACGGUGCUGAAGUGACAAAUGCCCUGCUUCCAGGAAAAGCCUCUAAGCAUCAGGUAACAUCAAAUCGUACCCCAAACCGACACAGGUGGUCAGGUAGAGAAUACCAAGGCGCUUGAGAGAACUCGGGUGAAGGAACUAGGCAAAAUGGUGCCGUAACUUCGGGAGAAGGCACGCUGAUGGUAGGUGAAGUGACUUGCUCAUGGAGCUGAAAUCAGUCGAAGAUACCAGCUGGCUGCAACUGUUUAUUAAAAACACAGCACUGUGCAAACACGAAAGUGGACGUAUACGGUGUGACGCC